rnacentral:lncRNA from 1 species
GGGCUUACUCCUUGGAGACUGGCAGCUCAGGGUCACGUUUGCCCCCACAUGGGGCACACCCUGGAGACGGCAGGAUGGAGGAGCUGGAGGAACCAGUACAUUGAGUUCUAAGGUUUUGAUGCUGUGGCCCCUAGAUUUGCCUUGUUUGUCUUGCACAUUCACGGAGCAGCUGUAGGGGCCAGAGUCUUUCUCCUGGAGACCCUCCAGCCGCAGGGACA